rnacentral:lncRNA from 1 species
CAUCUAUAGUCAAACUUCUGAAAUCUUAGUAGGCAGAGAUGGGGUAAUGCUUUUACAGGACAAAGAAUGCCAAAGAUUGCCAAUAGACCACCAGAAGCUAGGAUAUUAAUGCUGAGAAAAAACUAACUUUAGUGCAACACACAGAAACAGCAUCAACUAUAAAGUUCUGGACAAAGAAAAAUGUAAUUUCUCCCACACCGAAGCCU